rnacentral:rRNA from 1 species
GACGAACGCUGGCGGCGUGCUUAACACAUGCAAGUCGAACGAUGAUGCCCAGCUUGCUGGGUGGAUUAGUGGCGAACGGGUGAGUAACACGUGAGUAACCUGCCCCUGACUCUGGGAUAAGCGUUGGAAACGACGUCUAAUACUGGAUAUGACUGCCGACCGCAUGGUCUGGUGGUGGAAAGAUUUUUUGGUUGGGGAUGGACUCGCGGCCUAUCAGCUUGUUGGUGAGGUAAUGGCUCACCAAGGCGACGACGGGUAGCCGGCCUGAGAGGGUGACCGGACACACUGGGACUGAGACACGGGCCAGACUCCUACGGGAGGCAGCAGUGGGGAAUAUUGCACAAUGGGCGAAAGCCUGAUGCAGCAACGCCGCGUGAGGGAUGACGGCCUUCGGGUUGUAAACCUCUUUUAGUAGGGAAGAAGCGAGAGUGACGGUACCUGCAGAAAAAGCACCGGCUAACUACGUGCCAGCCGCCGCGGUAACAC